UACGUAGGGUGCUAGCGUUGUCCGGAAUCAUUGGGCGUAAAGCGCGCGUAGGCGGCCCGGUAAGUCCGCUGUGAAAGUCAAAGGCUCAACCUUUGAAUGUCAGUGGAUACUGCCGGGCUAGAGUCCGGAAGAGGCGAGUGGAACUCCUGGUGUAGCGGUGGAAUGCGCAGAUAUCAGGAAGAACACCGACGGCGAAGGCAGCUCGCUGGGACGGUACUGACGCUGAGGCGCGAAAGCGUGGGGAGCGAACAGG
rnacentral:rRNA from 1 species